UUAAAUGUCAGAUGUACGAAUAAAUGUGACAGAUUUUAAUAAGAAAAUGAUUUUCUGUGGGGGAGGGCUCCCUAAACACCAAUUUUUAGAAAGAAUUGAAAAUUCGUCGCUGAAACUAUUGAAAGGCGGUGUAACUCGUGUCGGCGUUGCUAUGCAUCACGGAAUGGAUUGUCUCCCUUCAAAACUCGAGCGUCUGACGACACAGAUGAAUUACAACGCAGAAGGAGACGCUGGAAAACGCCAGGUAAACUGGAAAAUAUGAUUUAUUAGUUUAUGUGGAGUAGUGUCCCAUGUCCACGUUCGAGGUCAGACAUGAUUGGUUUGACAGAAUCUAUUUAUGUUCGGGAUGGCUAGUUUAAAUCGGAUUGUUUUGACAGAAUCUGUUGAUGGUUUUUAGACUGGUUCGGGAUGGCUAGUUUAAAUCGGUUAAAGUUUUGAUACACUUUCAUAUCUACCAUGAAAUGGUGUGAUUUUAGAAGGAACAAAGAUCAUAUGCUGUAUUGCUGUUUCAUUUUUUGACCUACCAAUAAGUGAUAGGAAUGUUCUUAGAGUUGGUUUUGCAUAGACAGUGGUUGCCAGUAAAGAUAUUGAAUAUCUCUCACCAUAACAUGGCUUCUGCUAAAAUGUCGAGGAAGAACAUGGGACAGUGAAGUUUCCAGAUGAUGUAAAGGAUGAUUUGUUUGUCAAGUGUUAACAAAGGAGAAUUUGGACAGUUCCGUUGUAUAAUGUAUUAGAUAUAUAUAUAUAUAGAGAGAGAGAGAUUUUACAACAAUGUUAUAACAAUAUUUCAUUUGGGUUAGUUUUGUAUUUAAAGACAGACAUAUAAUACAGAAAAAAAACCAGGUCUAUUGGCGAGAUACAUGUUAAAUACAGAAAAAACAGAUCUGUUGGCAAAAUGCAAGCUGCUAUCUGUUGUUAUAGCAAUUUUUGUUUAGCUUAAUGUGAAAGCAAAGAUGUUAUAGCGAUUUUUGUUCAGCUUAACCUGAAGGCAAAGAGCUCAC